UUAAUAAGCGGAGGAAAAGAAACUAACCAGGAUUCCCUCAGUAAGGGCGACUGAAGCGGGAAUAGCUCACGUUGUGAAUCGGUGCCUCGGCACUGAAUUGUGGUCUACAGACACGCACACUACUGGCCGGGUCAAGUCCUUUGGAACAGGGCGGCAAAGAGGGUGAGACCCCCGUGCACCUGGCCUUGGAAGUGUGUGUCAACGAGUCGAGUUGUUUGGGAUUGCAGCUCCAAGUGGGUGGUAAGCUCCAUCUAAAGCUAAAUACCGGUGGGAAACCGAUAGUGUACAAGUACCGUGAGGGAAAGAUGCAAAGAACUUUGAAAAGAGAGUUAAAGAGUACCUGAAAUUGCUGAAAGGGAAGCGAAGGAAACCAGUGUAGGCGCCGCCGCAUUUUCCCGUCUGCUUGCAGUCGGGACGCUGUKGCACGCCGUGUCGCCCUUGGUUGGGUGRGAUUGAACUGCGCAGAGAAAGUUGUUCCCUGCAUGCUAGAUCUGGCCCGACCGAGCUGCGACGAAAUGCUUUCUUCUCUCCGUCU
rnacentral:rRNA from 1 species